UCGAGUAUGGUGUAACGGCUAACAUUACCGCCUUUCAAUGCAUUGCCAGUUGUUCGCGGUAGCUCGGGGUUCGAUUCCCCGUACUCGAG